rnacentral:misc_RNA from 1 species
AUAUCCUAACAUAUGUCCAGAUCACACAAUGAAGCUCAACUCGCCAGUUUCCUUUCCAAGGAAAACUCUUCAAGUUAGUUCAAGGUUUAUUCCUUUUCAUGACUUUCCAAGAUUUCUUUUUCCUUUUCCACCUUAACAGUGCUAUCUUGUUACAUUUCAACUUUCGAUAUUCUUGGCGAUGCUUUAGCCACAAAGGGUAGUCCUUUCCUUGCUUGCACUCGAUAAAAUCAGCUAAGUCAUCAAAAUCAGGGACUUGUCCAGCUUCUGAUCUGCACUUGAGAAAUAUUUUCCCAUUGGUAGUUUCCUCCAUCUCCUCUUCCAUUGCUACCACAUCUUCUUUGUUAUAAACCUCAGA